UUAUAGUUUCCAACUCAACCUGGUUGACAACAGACAUAAAGACAUUUUACUUUUGCAUUUUGUUCAUCUUUGAAGAGCUGCUUUAUCAAGUGACAUUUUAAAUAAUCACUUAUUAUUAGUUCUGUCAAACUAAAUGCAAACUUGGAUCCUACCAUUAUCAUUGAAACUUUGUCACAAGUUCUAUAAUUUCUAUGGUUCUUUAAUGAGUAUCCACAAUUUACUUAUGCUGCAUAUUCUUCCAUCUUCACUAAUGAUCUGUUACCUACUACAGGGAUGCUGGCAGUGGAGUUGCACUGAAAACUCUUAAGCGUGUACUGAAAGGCUGGGCCCAAGGAAGUAUAUCUAGUUUGCAGCCUCAGCAGAAUGAUUUUCUUGAUUACAAUGAUGGUAGUGGUUAAUUGUUUGUUUUGUUCUUUUUGGAUAUGUUUACCCUUUUCUUAUGUUUCAACCUCAAAGGUGGGGAGAGGAGGGAGUACAGAUCAGAGAAUGUAAAGGUUUGGGGUUGGAGACGUUGAAGACCUCUUUGCAGGUUUCACUCCUUUCAAUCCCAAGGAUAAGCAACACGAAAAUUAAUUCAACAACCCUGUUUGAGUUAUGUAAACAUUGAUGUAUACCCCCCCUUUUGAAUAUAUGUCGAACAGUAACUCUGGCAAGUGAACAGAAAGGUUGUUUGAUAAUUGUUGGUCUGAAUGGUCUCUUUAUCAUCUAACAGAUUUUGUAUGUACCUCAACUUGUAAUUAAUGAUAUUCUGAAGUCUUUAUCAUCUAACAGAUUUUGUAUGUACCUCAACUUGUAAUUAAUGAUAUUCUGAAGUCUUUAUCAUCUAACAGAUUGUGUAUGUACCUUAACUUGUGUAUAUGAACACCACAAUGGCUAUCAGUAAUUAUUUUCCUUAAUGUGGAAGUGGGAGAUUUAUUAUAGGGUUAAAUUAUGAUGGAUCAAAUAUAUGCAACAGAGUUAUAGGGAAACCAUGCAUGUUAUAGCCAUGUGUAUAAAGCAGAGCCAGCAUUUCUAGGUUUUCAGUAUUUUUGAACUAAUAAUAUCCUUCUAUCAAUUGAAUAGACAACCGAGAAGUAAUAAAAGGGUUAGACCCAAGGUAUGCAUAUCAGCUGAAUAGUGGGAACGGGUCAGGUGGUUGUACAUGAAAGAGGAUGACUCCACUGAAGGCUGAGAGCUGAUAGUUCUGGAACAGAAACAACUAGUAUCAAGGCUGCCUAGCCAAUGGACAAGAGAUAGCAGUGAAAAGAUUGUCUGAACAUUCAGGACAAGGGACUAAUGAGUUUAAAAAUGAAGUUACAUUAUUAGUUAAACUCCAACACAGAAAUCUGGUGAGGUUGCUUGGUUGUUGCUUUGAAAAGGAAGAAAGGAUGCUAGUUUGUGAAUACUGAAUACCUACCAAAUAAAAGCUUGGAUUUCUUUAUUUUCGUUCAAUUCAGAUAAAAACCGAAGAUCGUCACUGACUUGGAAUAAGCGCUUUGAAAUCAUUUUGGGGAUUGCUCAAGGUGUUUUAUAUCUUUCAUCAAGAUUCAAGGCUGAAAAUAAUUCAUAGAGAUCUAAAAGCCAGCAAUGUACUACUUGAUGCUGCAAUGAAUCCAAAAAUCUCAGAUUUUGGUAUGGCUAGAAUAUUUGGAGAAGAUCAAAUCCAGGCAAGAACGAAAAGAGUGGUUGGAACAUAGUAGGUGUAAUUUUCAUAUGAACACCAAGAGUGGCGUGAUUGAUCUGUCUUAUUUACAAUGUUCUAACCGUUUUGUAUAACUAUAUCGUACUG